rnacentral:rRNA from 1 species
GAUGAACGCUGGCGGCGUGCCUAAUACAUGCAAGUCGAGCGAACAGAUGAGGAGCUUGCUCCUCUGACGUUAGCGGCGGACGGGUGAGUAACACGUGGAUAACCUACCUAUAAGACUGGGAUAACUUCGGGAAACCGGAGCUAAUACCGGAUAAUAUAUUGAACCGCAUGGUUCAAUAGUGAAAGACGGUUUUGCUGUUACUUAUAGAUGGAUCCGCGCCGCAUUAGCUAGUUGGUAAGGUAACGGCUUACCAAGGCAACGAUGCGUAGCCGACCUGAGAGGGUGAUCAGCCACACUGGAACUGAGACACGGUCCAGACUCCUACGGGAGGCAGCAGUAGGGAAUCUUCCGCAAUGGGCGAAAGCCUGACGGAGCAACGCCGCGUGAGUGAUGAAGGUCUUCGGAUCGUAAAACUCUGUUAUUAGGGAAGAACAAAUGUGUAAGUAACUAUGCACGUCUUGACGGUACCUAAUCAGAAAGCCACGGCUAACUACGUG